UACAGAGGGUGCGAGCGUUAAUCGGAAUUACUGGGCGUAAAGCGCGCGUAGGCGGCUUUGCAAGUCGGGUGUGAAAUCCCCAGGCUUAACCUGGGAACUACAUUCGAGACUGCAUUGCUAGAGUAUGGGAGAGGGAAGUGGAAUUUCCGGUGUAGCGGUGAAAUGCGUAGAUAUCGGAAGGAACAUCAGUGGCGAAAGCGACUUCCUGGACCAAUACUGACGCUCAUGUGCGAAAGCGUGGGGAGCAAACAGG
rnacentral:rRNA from 1 species